CUUACCAGGUCUUGACAUCCCUCUGACCGGCUUAGAGAUAAGCCUUUCCUUCGGGACAGAGGUGACAGGUGGUGCAUGGUUGUCGUCAGCUCGUGUCGUGAGAUGUUGGGUUAAGUCCCGCAACGAGCGCAACCCUUGAACUUAGUUGCCAGCAGGUUGAGCUGGGCACUCUAAGUUGACUGCCGGUGACAAACCGGAGGAAGGCGGGGAUGACGUCAAAUCAUCAUGCCCCUUAUGACCUGGGCUACACACGUACUACAAUGGCCGGUACAACGGGAAGCGAAGGAGCGAUCCGGAGCCAAUCCUAGAAAAGCCGGUCUCAGUUCGGAUUGCAGGCUGCAACUCGCCUGCAUGAAGUCGGAAUUGCUAGUAAUCGCGGAUCACCAUGCCGCGGUGAAUACG
rnacentral:rRNA from 1 species